rnacentral:lncRNA from 1 species
UAUAAUAUAAUAUAGUAAUCCUUUUUUUUUCAAUGCCAAGCAACAUUUUGGUAAGCAAAUCUGACCAGUAGGUAAAUAAAUAAAUAAAUAAAAAAAUAAAUAAAUAAAUCCUUAAAGUUAGCCUAUUGUAUGUAAGUGCAUGCAUGUGUUUGUUUGUUUCCCCAGCUGUAGUGUCUUUCUAAAAGCACACCACCUGAGGUCAGUGUAACACCUGAUAUCACACACACAGGACAGAAGGGCAGAGAUGAAUCACACCUUCUGCAGUUCAGUCAUCUCUAAUGCUUGUGUGUUGCGUGCAGGAAUUUGGUAUCAAGCUCACAUGAAGAGAGGGAGAAGGAGAGGUCCCGGCUGGACUCAAUGGUUCUACUAAUAAUGAAGCUGGAUCAGCUGGACAAAGAGAUUGAAAAUGCUCUAAGCUCCUCCCUAAAUAGCACACCCAAUUUAAAGAGGCGGAUCAUUUCUGAUGUUGACUUAGAAACUCUGGAUUCAGCCGGAAGUCUUUCAGCCUCCUCACAGUCUCUAAACACCCCACUUUAUCGCUCUUCUUCAUCGUUGUCUUCAUCAGGACCCACCGGAACCCCUGGAGCAAGACCAAAAAAUGAGACUUCUGCUGUACUUUCUGAGAACGACAGAGCAGGGUUAUGCCUGGAGUCCAUACUGCUAUGCUACUACUACACCUUUUUCUGUUUUGCAGCUGGACAGGCAUCCACUGUGUAAAACAUAUUCUGGAUAAGUUGGCAGUUCCUUUGGCGGAAAAUGUAUUUUGAAUUGAUGAAUAGACUGAAAAGUAUAGUUUUGGAAGCAUGGCUAUCCACAAUCACUGUCUGACUAGACCAAUUGUGCAUCGGUUCCUGAUUAGUCGAGCCCCUCUCACAUGACCAUUACACAACAAGUACAGAUGCCAGCAAAAUAUGUCCAUGUCCACUGAGUGGGAAUGGUCAGUGUUCUAGGCUGUAUAGAGGGUGAAUGGAGAUGGUUUUUAAAAAUAGCAGUAACAUGACAGUCAAGAUGAAGAGUGUUUUCAUUCUAAAAUCCUGUUUUAAAACAAAGCGCAGUCAUGUAAAUGCAGCCUUAACGUAAAACCUGUCUGUGAAACUAGGCCAUAGUUUCUUAUUCAUAUGAUGAAGUUGUAGUUUUUUUGUCUAUCUAUCUAUCUAUCUAUCUAUCUAUCUAUCUAUCUAUCUAUCUAUCUAUCUAUCUAUCUAUCUAUCUAUCUAUCUAUCUAUCUCUAUCUAUCUAUCUAUCUAUCUAUCUAUCUAUCUAUCUAUCUAUCUAUCUGUCUGUCUGUCUGUCUGUUUGUUUGUCUGUCCGUUCAUCCGUCCGUCCGUCCGUCCGUCCGUCCUAUCUGUCUGUCUGUCUGUCUGUCUGUCCAUCCUAUCUGUCUGUCUGUCUGUCUGUCUGUCCGUCCUAUCUGUCUGUCUGUCUGUGUGUCUAUCUAUCUAUCUAUCAAUUAAUCAAUCAUCUGCCCAUCCAUCCUUCCUUCCUUCCUUCCAUCCAUCCAUCCAUUCAUCUAUCCAUGUUGUUACAGUACAUGGUGCAGUAUUGCAACCGUGGAACUUAUUUAUUUCAAGUCUAAGUUACUGUUUUUGCUUCAUUUUUUUAUAAACUAUGUGAGAAAUCGUAUAGGUUUGUGAUCUGUGACUUGAUUGAUAAAUGUGUGAUUUCUCAGUAUUUUUCACCAAAAAAAAAAAAAAAACAUAAGCCAAAUUAAUUUUCAGUGAUAAUAGUGUACAGAAAUUGUAUUUAAAAGCACUGCAUAUUUUCCACUUUCGCUUUAAAUGAGCGUGACAUUUGCAACAGUACUCUCUUUUAACUUUUAAAAAGCAGAUUUUUCCUGGUGUGCACCUGGUUUGGUUGGGUUUAGGCAUGGCUGCUGGUGGUUCAGUGUUCUUCGUCAGAGGUGAGAGUUCAGUUCAGGGUUAAAGGUCAGGAAAGGUAAGGUUAGGUGAUCGGCCUGUGCAAUCCAUUGACCGUCAGUGCAGAAGCUCACACCAUAUGCUUCCUGCAGCACAACCUGUUUCCAUCUGCUUCUCCAAAAGUUAGACUAACUCCCAGAAAAUGCUUCCCUGCUUAUGUUUUAGUGUUCUCUCACUGAUUGACUGAUGAUGUUUAGACAUCCUCAUAAAUGUAUCCUGCUAGUUUUGAUUAAAAUGCAAUGUAAAUGUCCAUAUUUGAACCGUGUUGCGUUAGUAAAACUCAUAUAAUUUUUGAGAAUUAUCAGCAGUCAGAAAUAUGCUAUUUUAGUUCAAAUGACUCAGGCGAACACAUUUCUCUAUUCAUUUACAGACAUACCCUUCCUACUGUUAUAUUGCUUUUUUAUUGUUAUUUAUAUCAUAUUAUAAGAAAUGAAUUACAAAUUCUCAAAUUACUGUAAUUGAGCAGUUUUUUCUCAGGAAUACUUAACUAUUGUUUACUUAACUAUCUUUUACAUGAGUGUAUUUUAAGCACU